rnacentral:rRNA from 1 species
UACGUAGGGUGCGAGCGUUACUCGGAAUUACUGGGCGUAAAGCGUGCGCAGGCGGCUUUGCAAGACAGAUGUGAAAUCCCCGGGCUCAACCUGGGAACUGCAUUUGUGACUGCAUGGCUGGAGUGCGGCAGAGGGGGAUGGAAUUCCGCGUGUAGCAGUGAAAUGCGUAGAUAUGCGGAGGAACACCGAUGGCGAAGGCAAUCCCCUGGGCCUGCACUGACGCUCAUGCACGAAAGCGUGGGGAGCAAACAGG